rnacentral:lncRNA from 1 species
AACGGAGUGGAUGUGACGGGAUAGGGCAGCUAAGGACAGACAUCUUCGCCAAGACACGAGGAUUCUGGGAUCGCUACAACCUCGGUGCGGCGAAUGACCGCAAACUGUUCGAUAUGCUGGCGAGAUUAAGGAACGACACGGCGUAAGGCUGCCCUUUUCCCACGCCUCUACUGCAUCAACUGACUUGUGCCUAGCUAACAAGUAGUCUAAUGUUUGCUAGUAUGAUAUGAUGGCAGGACAAGCUAUGUUUCUUCCCGGGUUCGUCUUCUGAGCAACACGUAUAAGAAGGUGGCCGUAACUGGAUUGGCUAUGUUGGCACUCGCGAUCGGGGGAUCACCUAAUGUGAAGGAGAUGAUCGUCAAUAACGCUGCAACAAAAGUCGAAGAGAUUCAAG